AGUGAAGCUGCAAAUAGAAUAGGCCGAGUCCUGUAACUAAUCAAACCACUCUUUUAAGUUUUAAGUUUACACUUGCUGGUUUGUUUUGAUCCUAUUCCUUAUUCACACCAUUCAGUCCUAGCCCAUGAUAAUGAACAGAGUCUUUGGCUUGCUCAAAGAAUUUUGUUGAUGACUAUUACUCCAGUCGUCUUCCAUGUCUCUCAACUUUUCUAUUCUUUGUCUAUGUACAUCACCUUUUCCCUUCCUGUGACCAUUUGGAGUCACUCUUGGUCUACUAGGGCCACUAAUGAGGCAAACCAGAAGUUUCAGUGGAGCAUCCUAGAUGUUGUGUCAAGGUUGCACUAUGAAUUUGCAUGUCUUUAUCACCAAGGGUUGAAUUUUCUCACUUGUGGCAACGGUUCCAUCCUGAAUCAACUUUGAACUCCAUUUUUGGGCUUUUUUCUUGAUUGUUUGUUGACUGACAAGCACAUAUACAUUUCAGAUAUAGCAAGUAGAGUGAAGUGGUAUCCAUCUAGCUAGAGGUUCUGAAGUUUUUCACUGUUAGUUUCCUACUUGUAUAUGACCCUUAGUCCAUCUGCAGUCUCUCGUUGUGUCAGCCGAGCUACCUUAUGCGUUGUAUAAUUUUUUUAUAGAUUUCAACUCCAGGCAUAUCCUGCCCUUUCAGUGUUUCAGCUUGAUAAUUUCUCCACAAUACUAGUAAAUCAGCUUACUUAACAAUCUUCAGCUGACAUCACAAUUAGUAAAUCUGAUUUCCUAUUUUGUUUAAGGCUUUUGUUGCAGAUGAUUUGUUACUAGUAUCAAAGGUCAAGGCAUCCUAUCUUCUUGUGUUCUCAUAUACAGAUGAGAACAAGUUUUUAUAAGUCAGUAAAGCAGGCUGUCAAUGUCUUAUGACGUCUUUAACUAAAGUUUGCUCAUUAGCAGUUUUUAAUAAAGGAGCAGCCAUGAUUGUCAAUAUCUAAAGCAACUUCUCUAAAGUUGCUCACUAGGAGUAUUUACUAAAGCAACCACCAUGGUUGUCAAUAUCUCAAAUGACGUCUCUCACUAAAGUUGCUUAUUGACAGUAUAUAUAUAUA
rnacentral:lncRNA from 1 species